UUCAAGUUCAGUUCAUACUUUUAUUAUUAUUGGUGGCCAUUUCUUCUGUGCCCUCUUCUUCCUGUGCCAGCCAGGUCAUGUACGCGACUCUCGUCGCGAAAAAUAAAACCUGAGAAAUCGAGAAGGGUUUGUGUAAGGCUGCAUACAUGUUUGUUGUAAUAUGGGAAAACAGAGAAGAGGUUGUUACAGUGGAUUGAGGUAAGAGGAGAAAGUCUCUCCAUAUUGAUUUGAAUUGUUAUGGAUAUUCAGAGUUGUGAAAUAAAAAUGGCUGAGAAAGAGUAGGUUGCAGAGAAAUGUGUAUGUAUAGGGAUGAAUUUGGAGACCAUAAUUCAGGGUUGCAUAGACAGUAGUGACACUUUCUGUUGCUGCUGCUGCUGCAUGUUUGUGGAGUUUAUUGUUAUUGUGUCUCUUAUAUCAUACUUUUUUUUUUGUUGCUUUAAUUUUGUUUCUUUAUAGUAUAAUUUAUGAACAUUUUACAUGUAUUGAUUUUCUGAAUUGAGGUAAUUCCUUUCUCGUAUCAGUGUCCCAAAAUGUGUUCCUCUGCCAUGAGAAUGUUGUGUGCUUUUGCUUCACUUACCAAAUCUCUCUGCAUUUAAGUGAUGUGACUCCAUGCUAAUGACAUAAACUUCUUUUCUCAUAUGAUCAAUUAUAUGUUAGUUUCAACUUCGAUAGAGACCUCCAAACCCCCAUAUCUUUUUUUGGAUUUUAAAUAUGGUUUUAGCCAUAACCACUGGCUUAGCAAAACAAUAUUUUCAAUGAUAAUUCCUUUACAACAUACUACGUGGAGGAGGGGUUAUGGAAUUAGUAAGAUGUUGCUUUGAAUAUUUUAUUUUAAGAACUUAAUAAUUUAAGCCGGAGUUAAGCAUCUAAUUAUGGUUGUUAUCCUCAAUCUUCUAUCUAGGUCACCUCCAUUAUCUAUAGUUUAGAGGACCCAAUUCAGGUCAUGGUGGUGGGACCUGAAUAGCCAUCCCAAGAAUCAUUAAAGAUUUCAUUUAUUUAAUUUUGUGUGAAGCCUUCUUUUUCACUUGAUUAGCAGUAUGUUUAAGAUUGCCCCCCAUGUGCACCCUUCGUCACAAUAAUUCAGAUUUGAAUUCAUAUCUGUUUAAUUAAUGCACACUUUCCCCCCUAUGGAAUUGUGAACAUAAACACUGUUAAGCUUGUGGAAAGGAAAGCCCGUUCAGUUACAAGUUUCCUUCGCAUUGUGCCUCGUCAAGCUAACUUUCAAAGUUGCUUUUCCCUCGUGUUUGAACACACUUCUUUAGUUUCUUGUUACCAUAUUGGCUCAACCAAAACUUACUUUCGGCCUUAAACAACACAAGUUGCUUUUUUAUUAUUC
rnacentral:lncRNA from 1 species